UGAGUUAAUUGGUUUUCCCUUUCUUUGACUUUUAUUCUUCCUUUGAUAAGCCUUUACAUUCAUCCUUGUUAACUAAUCCACCGCUUCAUGACAAAAGUUUAACUUAUUCAAAACAAGAGUCCAGCAGAUUUUGACAAGAAGCCAUUAUAUUUGGCUUAUGCAUGAUUCCAUUGUCUGCUAACGCCACCAGAACGUUAAUUUUUGUUUUUAUAUAUAUUGCUUUGUACUAUGGUCAAUUUCUGGAAUGGCUUUGAUGACAAUGGCCACACUUGGAUUAAAGUUUCAUGCCCAGACAAAACUGCCACCGCCAAGGACUUUUCUCCUUUAGCUUUUUAUAUCUGCACCGCUUCGAAGCCUUGCAAUUCUACCGCCCAGCGUCUACUCUCUUAUUCAAUUUGAACUUGUUUGCAGCUUGACACAUCACCCCAAGAACACAUGAUCGUCAUCUUUUGGUGUUAAAAGCCUCAAACCGCCUCUGACUAUUUUGGUCUUCUGCAAACAUAAAGACUUGUGCGCCAAAUUUGUUCUUAAUUGGAUGCUUCAAAGCUUGUAUUCAAUUUUAACAAAUUUGUUUGCUGUGCAGGUUCAAGCAGGACCAGUAGAUUCGGUGAAGCCUGUAGCUGUGACAACUUUGGGCGACAGGGCUCCGACAUGAGUUCAUCGGGAUGCUGCCCGGCAUGGUUCAUCGGAGACGCUGCUCCGGCAUGUUGUCUUUGACAUCAUUGACACCCGGAGGUGCCAUUGUGAGGAGGGCCUGCAACAGAAAAAAAAAGGUGGUGGAGAGCGAUGGAAUGCGGUCUGAACCUUUUGUCUUCCAAGCUGCUUUGCUGCUUUCUCCUUCUUGUUUUUCCACGCUGCUGUGCUCCGUUGUGUCCUCCCCUUGAUGUUUUCGGCCUCUAGUCAAAACCUAGUUUUUCGCACUUCUUUUCCAAGUCAAAUGCCGGAACAUUUGCUCCACAAUCUGGCAGCUUUAUUGCAGCGUCCUUGCCAUCAGGCACACAUUCGUGAGCUGGCAGAGAUGAUGAUCAUUCCUGAAAGGCUAGUUGGGAAUAAGAGGCGAAGUAGAGAGGAGGAAGGUGUUUCUAUCUCCCCUAAAAAACUGAAAUUGAGCCUUGCUGUGGGAGUGUGGGGAAGAAAAACUUGAACUUGGAACCGAAGAAUUUGGGACUGGUACUAGUGGUGCAGAAUGAGGAAAAUAAUGGCCAGUUGAAAAGAAACCGAGGUAGACCUGUAGGUAGCAAAAACAAGCUACCAUAUGGUGAAAAAAAAGAAGGCAACAAAGGCUAAGGAGAGACCAAGGGCAGCCAAGAAACAACUAUUGCCAAAGCUUGACAAGGUUGAUGCAGCUUCAAGCUCCAACUCGAAAGGGAAGGAGCUGGUUCUUUAUUAGUUUUAUUAAUUAGUUUUCUUUCAAGCCUGUGAGAGUUUCGUGAAGCUUCUAUAAGUCUUCUAUGACGUUUCUAGUUUCUUGUUUGUACCACAAUUGCGUGUUUGGCAAGCGAGGACCAGUUGAACGAUUUCUUUUUUGUAAAAGGCGAGGUUUUGAUCAUUUUUGUAUAGGCUUACUAAAAAUUGAGCGUCCCAAAGAUUGUAAUAGUUUGUUAUUGCUUAGAUAGGCAGUCUUUUGCUUUGACUUUUUUAUGUAAGAUUUGUAGACUAUAGCCUUUUGGUUGUUGAACUAAUGAAUUUCAACUUUUAUUUCAAAAAAAAAUUGAUUUCAUCUUUUUUAUAAGAGCUUCAACCAAAAAAGAGAAAAGGGAGUGUGAUAGAAGCAUUUUAUGCGACGUGUAUAUGGUUAAUCCCUA